GGUUCCUAUAAGGUGUCAGGAUGUCGCUGUCUAUUUCUCCAUGGAGGAGUGGGAGUAUUUAGAAGAACACAAGGACGUCAUGAUGGAGAAUCACCAGUCCCUCACAUCUCCGGAUGGAUCCAGUCAGAGAAAUCCACCAGAGAGAUGUCCCAGUCCUCAGUAUUCCCAGGACUGUCCAGAGGAGAAACCAAAUAUCCCACUGGAUCAUCAGGAAAGUUCUGGUAGAACAACGAGUGGACCUGGAAAACCUGUGUCCGUGAAUGGUGA